GAUGAACGCUGGCGGCGUGCUUAACACAUGCAAGUCGAACGUGAGAGGGUAGCAAUAUCCUUGAAAGUGGCGCACGGGUGAGUAAUACGUAGGUAACCUGCCCUGGAGUGGGGGAUAACAACUGGAAACGGUUGCUAACACCGCAUAAUACCGGACACUAGGGAUAGUGACUGGUAAAAACUCUGGUGCUUCAGGAGGGGCCUGCGGCCGAUUAGCUAGUUGGCGGGGUAAGAGCCCACCAAGGCAUUGAUCGGUAGCUGGUCUGAGAGGACGAGCAGCCACACGGGAACUGAGACACGGUCCCGACUCCUACGGGGGGCGGCAGUGAGGAAUAUUGGGCAAUGGGCGAAAGCCUGACCCAGCAACGCCGCGUGGAGGAAGACGGCCUUCGGGUUGUAAACUCCUUUUACGGGGAAGAGGAAGGACGGUACCCCGAGAAUAAGUCACGGCUAACUACGUGCCAGCCGCCGCCGUAAUAC
rnacentral:rRNA from 1 species